AAUAUUGGACAAUGGGGGCAACCCUGAUCUAGCCAUGCCGCGUGUGUGAAGAAGGUCUUCGGAUUGUAAAGCACUUUAAGUUGGGAGGAAGGGCUUUAGGCUAAUACCCUGAAGUUUUGACGUUACCAAAAGAAUAAGCACCGGCUAACUCUGUGCCAGCAGCCGCGGUAAGACAGAGGGUACAAGCGUUAAUCGGAAUUAACUGGCGUAAAGCGAGCGUUGGUUGUUCAGUAAGAUGGGUGUGAAAUCCCCGGGCUUAACCUGGGAACUGCUUUCAUAACUGCUGAGCUAGAGUACGGUAGAGGGUAGUGGAAUUUCCUGUGUAGCGGUGAAAUGCGUAGAUAUAGGAAGGAACACCAGUGGCGAAGGCGACUACCUGGACUGAUACUGACACUGAGGUGCGAAAGCGUGGGGAGCAAAC
rnacentral:rRNA from 1 species